UACAGUGCGUGCGCUGAUGCCGCAGCUCCAUCUCUCUCUCUCUCCCCCCUCUCUCUCUGAGCGAUAAUAACACACAAACACAGCACAGUCAUGGCGACAGAGACAGUCCAACCGCUCACCCUGUAGCGAGGUUUAAAACAUGUCAUGCGAGAUGCCCCCCCUGCAUUCCCAAGACAAAGGUAGCCGUGACACGGUUCACCAUUUUACGGGACUUGUCGACUUUCCACGGAGGGCAUGUUGAGAUCCUGCUUCGUUGCUGCGACGAGAUCUCUUUCUGGAUCCCAAGUCGUUCAUCCGGGGCUGCUCUUCCUCUAAGAGACCGGUAAAAGACAGGAAGCUCUGGAAGUCCACCACAGGUCUCCUAAGGUCCCCUCUCUGGCCCUCUAGCUGUAGAAGAAACAAACAUGACACGAUCUGUUCAUAUCAUAAAGCAUAUCACCAUCACUGUUUUGUCAGUGUCAGUAAACAGAUUUGAACACACAGGACACAAGUAACUUGUCUCAGGCCACUGAUUUCUUUCCAUCCAAACAAAAAAAGAACAAAAAAAUGUCUAUGCAGAUAUACAAUAAAACACACACACAUUAAUUCCUUU